UCGCUGGGAAGGACGCCACUCGCUGAUCCUGACACCACAGCUGUCUACGGGGACCCAAUUCCAGCGACCCACGCUGCACCGUGGCAGGAGCUGCCCGCGGUCGGGGUGCCGGGCAGGGGUUUUGCCUCUCGGAGCAGCUGGUGCGGAUGUCGCAGCCAAUUACGUCGGGGAAGGAGCAGUGGGACAGCCUUCCGAGGACAGCAGUGAUGACAUGGACACCUGUACUGUGUGACUCUCUUGGGGCUGAUGUGUGCUCACUUUGGAGUCCUGCCAGUCUCAGUGGCUGAGUGGCUUUCAGGAGAGAUCACACCAAGGAGGAGUGUCCCUCCAACCACUCUUACAGGGGAAGAAGAUGGGUGCACUUGGUGCAGAAAACCAGGAAAGGUGACCGAAGUUUUGUGGUGCUCUCACGGAGAAGCAGCAGCUCCCGGUCCUCAGUUUCCCCCAUCUGUUAUCAGGUACCUGCGUCUGCCAGGGUGCUUCCAGCGUGUCAUGUCAUUACACAACUCCCAAGCACAGCUCAUCGCUUUACUCGCUGUCAUCUGGCGAUAGCAUUUGGCUGAGAAGUCCCUUUUGCACAGAUCAAGGACAAAGUUUGACAAAAACCCAAAGAGACAAACGGCAGUGAAAAGCGAAGCCUGACGACCAGGGCCGGGCGACUCUGCCACCCAUCAAUUAAAACCACAAUAUCCUGGGGCUUGGGAAUUAACCCUCCCGCAGCCGGUGAGGACCACAGGGCGACUUGCCAUGGGCUAAGCACCACGUUGCAAUGGGAACUCUCUUGCACAUGUCCUUCUGGUUCAUGCCCUCCCCCAGAGUGGAAGUGCCACUACCUAUGCCCCCAGACCACUGCAGGGCUGUGCAAUGCCUGUCCAGUAGAGCCUGCCUCCUGUAGCUCCUCUCUCCACACCUCCCCGGGCAAGCAUGCCAGCCAAAAGCAUUUGCCUCCAACUGUUUUAUUUUCUUGCUUCUCAAAAAUUAAGACCUUAUUUUCAGCAUCGGGGCAGGACUUUUUCUCUGGUUCUGAAAUUCCACAGGGAAUUUUGAGAAAAAUGGAAACAUUUGCAAUGUGCCCUGGGACAGAGAAUUGGGUUGUAAGCAGCUUUCAUCUGGCACAGCCUUCACUUCCUGCCCUGUGGGAUAGAAGUCACAUCAGAAGUGACAAAGACUCAUAAAUUCUGCAGCACAAUUUAGUCCUUUCUGGAAAAAAAUCUGGUUGUUCCCUGAAGCAGGGCUGAGCGCUGGGUGUGAUGUGGGGUAAAGAAAGUUUCUGCAAAUGUCUGUCUCUUAAUUAAUAUUAAUACCUCUCCAGUUUUUUAUCUCUGCUUUAAAUAAAAGGAAUCCAGCCAUGGCAGCGUUCCCACCACAUUAAGAAACUCAUGAAAGUGAAGUGAUGGAUGCUUUGGAA